GUGCCAGCAGCCGCGGUAAUACAGAGGGUGCGAGCGUUAAUCGGAUUUACUGGGCGUAAAGCGCGCGUAGGUGGCUAAUUAAGUCAAAUGUGAAAUCCCCGAGCUUAACUUGGGAAUUGCAUUCGAUACUGGUUAGCUAGAGUAUGGGAGAGGAUGGUAGAAUUCCAGGUGUAGCGGUGAAAUGCGUAGAGAUCUGGAGGAAUACCGAUGGCGAAGGCAGCCAUCUGGCCUAAUACUGACACUGAGGUGCGAAAGCAUGGGGAGCAAACAGGAUUAGAUACCCUGGUAGUCCAUGCCGUAAACGAUGUCUACUAGCCGUUGGGGCCUUUGAGGCUUUAGUGGCGCAGCUAACGCGAUAAGUAGACCGCCUGGGGAGUACGGUCGCAAGACUAAAACUCAAAUGAAUUGACGGGGGCCCGCACAAGCGGUGGAGCAUGUGGUUUAAUUCGAUGCAACGCGAAGAACCUUACCUGGCCUUGACAUACAGAGAACUUUCCAGAGAUGGAUUGGUGCCUUCGGGAACUCUGAUACAGGUGCUGCAUGGCUGUCGUCAGCUCGUGUCGUGAGAUGUUGGGUUAAGUCCCGCAACGAGCGCAACCCUUUUCCUUACUUGCCAGCAUUUCGGAUGGGAACUUUAAGGAUACUGCCAGUGACAAACUGGAGGAAGGCGGGGAUGACGUCAAGUCAUCAUGGCCCUUACGGCCAGGGCUACACACGUGCUACAAUGGUCGGUACAAAGGGUUGCUACACAGCGAUGUGAUGCUAAUCUCAAAAAGCCGAUCGUAGUCCGGAAUUGGAGUCUGCAACUUCGAC
rnacentral:rRNA from 1 species